UUGAGAAAAUAUUUGAUUAAAAGAAAACGUAGACAGCACGCAUUCCUUGAAGCUCAUUAAAUUACUCUUAUAUAUUUCAUCUGGACACUGCAAAACGGUUUGGACAUGAUGCCCUUUCGGACAAUUGUCAUUCCAUUACAAGAACGAGGUUAUGGCUGAGACACAUAGCAGAUUGGAGGUAUUAUGCGUGGGAGGAGUUUUCGAGACAGGUGUGAGAGAAUUUUUUCGGGGACUGGAAUUUUCCCACUACUUCCAUUUCCAUUUCCUUUCAUCAGCCCAAUUCGACAGGCAUACGCUUCGACCUUCCGACCUCCAAGAAAAUUGCAAAUGGUUAAUGGGUGUGGGAGAUGAUCCAGCAGGACCAGCACACAAUGUUAAAACUAUCUCUUCUUUGAUACAACAACGUGUGCGGAAUAUAGACAAGAAUGAGCAAGGCCCCAUGGUCAUGCCUCCACAGCAGUGCAGAAAGAGUAUGGAAACAGAAAGCGAACAGAGGGCUUGUAAUAUACAAAGAUAACGAGAGAACAAGAGUUAUCAUAAGAGCCAAGAACUAAGGGGUAUCCAAAUUCACUUGAGGCACGAUCUCGACCUCAUCCUAUUUCAAGAUGUCGGAGUCAUGCACUUAGCAAGACUUGAUCCUUGAUGGGUUCAUUAAAAACCAUUCGACUUCACCAACAAUUCAAGGGCCCAUUGAUAUAGUUAAUAAUUUCAAUCCUUUUCUUCAUAAGAAACAUCUAUUUAAUGUAAUCAAGUCAAAGUUGCAGAGAUAGCAUCCAUUUUCUUC